rnacentral:rRNA from 1 species
UACAGGGGGUGCAAACGUUGCUCGGAAUUAUUGGGCGUAAAGCGCGCGUAGGCGGCUACUUAAGUCAGAUGUGAAAUCCCCAGGCUCAACCUGGGAACUGCAUUUGAAACUCCCUUUCUUGAGUAUCGGAGAGGAAAGCGGAAUUCCUGGUGUAGAGGUGAAAUUCGUAGAUAUCAGGAGGAACACCAGCGGCGAAGGCGGCUUUCUGGACGAUAACUGACGCUGAGACGCGAAAGCGUGGGGAGCAAACAGG